rnacentral:rRNA from 1 species
AUCCCAUCAUCACCAAAGAACCCUUAAACAAUACUGAACAAUUCUAUACAAUUAUAGAAGAUUUUAUGUUAAAACUAGUAACAAGAAGGAGAACUUCUCCUACAAUGCAAGUAUAAAUCAGAUAGGACACCCCCCUGAUAAUUAACGUCCAUGAACAAAAAUAGCAACCAAACAAGAAAACCCUACUAAACCAUGCGUUAACCUAACACUAGAGCAUUUCAAGAAAGAUUAAAAGAAAAAGAAGGAAUUCGGCAAACAUUAACCUCGCCUGUUUACCAAAAACAUCGCCUCUUGAAUAAAUAUAAGAGGUCCAGCCUGCCCAGUGACCAUGUUCAACGGCCGCGGUAUCCUAACCGUGCGAAGGUAGCGUAAUCACUUGUUCUUUAAAUAAGGACUAGUAUGAACGGCACCACGAAGGUUAUACUGUCUCCUCUUUCUAAUCAGUGAAACUAAUUUCCCCGUGAAGAAGCGAGGAUAAUAAUAUAAGACGAGAAGACCCUAUGGAGCUUCAAACUACAAGGCACUUGCUUAAACAUAACUAAAUUUCAGAAAACCUAUCCCAUCUCAGCAAGAUGACCUUUAGUUUUAGGUUGGGGUGACCGCGGAGAAAAAAACAACCUCCACAUUGAAAGGAGACCACUCCUUAGCCAAGAGCCACACCUCUACGCACCAAUAAAAAGACAUCAAUUGACCCAAUAUUUUGAUCAACGAACCAAGUUACCCUAGGGAUAACAGCGCAAUCCACUUCAAGAGCCCCUAUCGACAAGUGGGUUUACGACCUCGAUGUUGGAUCAGGGUACCCCGGUGGUGCAGCCGCUACCAAAGGUUCGUUUGUUCAACGAU